UUGGAGGGCAAGUCUGGUGCCAGCAGCCGCGGUAAUUCCAGCUCCAAUAGCGUAUAUUAAAGUUGUUGCAGUUAAAAAGCUCGUAGUUGAACCUCGGGGUCUACCCAUUGGUCAGGCUUAAUUGUCUGCACUGGUGAGAUGGAUCUCUACCUUCUGAGGAACUUUCAUGCCAUUCAUUUGGUGUGAUGGGAAAUCAGGACUGUUACUUUGAAAAAAUUAGAGUGUUUAAAGCAGACUAUCGUCUGAAUACAUUAGCAUGGAAUAAUGAAAUAGGACGGACUGAUUCUAUUUCGUUGGUUUCUAGGAUCACCGUAAUGAUUAAUAGGGAUAGUUGGGGGCAUUAGUAUUCAAUUGUCAGAGGUGAAAUUCUUGGAUUUAUUGAAGACUAACUACUGCGAAAGCAUUUGCCAAGGAUGUUUUCAUUAAUCAAGAACGAAAGUUAGGGGAUCGAAGACAAUCAGAUACCGUCGUAGUCUUAACCAUAAACUAUGCCGACUAGGGAUCGGACGAAGUUAAUUUUAUAAUGACGCGUUCGGCGCCUUACGGGAAAC
rnacentral:rRNA from 1 species